GCAACAUCUACACACACACACACACACACACACACACUAAAUACACUUUGCCUGUCUCUGAAUGUAGUGUGUGUGUGUGUGUGUGUGUUGUGGUACCAGGGUGGGGGGCAGAUCCUGGAACGGAACUCUUCCACUGACCAGCUCCAACGCCAACACACCCACACUGUAGAUAUCAGACUUCACUCCGUAACCAUGGAGAUCCUGCAGCAACACACAAACAUAUACACACACACAGACACACACACACACACACCUGAUGAGAUGAGCUCUGUAUGUGGAAAUGGAUGGAUUGAAAGAAAGAAAGAAGGAGCUCGGGGCUGAGCCAGGGCAGCAGUGAGGGUGUGUGUUGCGGCAUAUCGAACACAACCUCCAUCCUCCUCCCGUCUCUCAUCAGGCUGUAAACACACUGCAGGCCGGAGAGACACACAUGGCCCCCUGCCGACAGCAGCACAUGACUCGCCUUCACACCUCUGACACAGCCGGAGAGAGAGAGAGGAGACAACAUGUGUGUGUGUGUGUGUGUGUGUGUGUGUGUGUGGAUUACCACAGGUGGGCAGCUAAUGCUAGCAGCAGAACAUUAACAUUACAUGAUCACCACACACACAGAGACUCGUUUUGGAUGCUACGGAGUCGAACAUGGCGGAAAAAACCUCCCAGAUGUUUCUGUAGCCAUAGCAACCUCCGUCCAAAGAAGACCAGUCAAAAGGCUACAAGUCGACGUCAAGCAGUAAGAAUUGAAACUGCUCCAACCCCUAGUGUGUACCUGUGUAUGUAGCCCAUGUGGUGCAGGUACUUCAGAGCGUUCAGGACUCCGUACAGCAGAUACGCAACCAGAGAUUCGCUCAUUCCGUCCGGGAAAAACGACCUGAGUCAUUAGUGGAGAGAGCACCCACAGCUGGCAGCAGGAACUGAACACCAAUCUGGACGUCAACAGUAAAAACAUUUUGGCACCCAUUCUCGUAAAGGGUGCCAAUAUUUCUGGAGUGGACUCUUCAGGUGUAUAGAGAGGACGAGCGUAUUUACCAUAAGCUGCAGUAGCUCCUCCUCCGUACACUCAUCCAGAUUGGUGUUUUUCACCGCCACCAGUCGACCGGACGGUCUGUGACGGGCCAUGCUCACCUGGCUCAGGUUAUUAAAGCCCCGCCCUACACACACACACACACACACACACACACACAAUAUUACUUUACACACUGCAGUAUUUAUUUAUUUACUUGGUCUAACAAAUGCACAUUACGAUGCUAAUAUGGAUUUAAAUGCUGGUUAACAUGGACGGAGUUUCACACACACACACACACACACACACACACACACACACACACACUUACACACUUACCGAGUAACGAGAGCAACUGAUAGUCUGCAGGAUCAGCGGACAAGCCGGAGAGGUCAUAAUCGGCGCCGAAGAACGAGCCAUCACUGCUCUGUUACACACACACACACACACACACACACACACACACAUUUUGAUGUUUUUAACAAACAGCUACAGUAGUGAAAUAAAGCAGGGUUACUUAUAA